GUGGUUGCUAUGCAACUUUAGGAAACUCUCUUUUUUUCUGCCAAACUAGCUAGCCAACAAGCUAGCAUCAGUGAGCUAACAAGAGUUUAUGCCUUAUUGAUGUUAACUUGUAUGUUUCCAUUGAUUGCAACCGGUAGAAAACUGUCCAGCAUCAGUGGGAUCACGUUGGGUAGAUCUACUCAUUUUGUUAAGUGGAGGAGGCAAUUAAUGCUGCUCUAGCAGGAUGCUGCUCUACCUUCUCUGGUCCCAGCUGGUCCCAACUGAUCUCAACUGCCGGUCCCAACUGAUAUCCUAAAGGCUGAACCCACGUUUAGUACACAGGUUUCCGCGAGACUACAUUUGUACAUCAGGAUUUUAAAAAUUGAUUCCUUGUCCUGCUUCCUUUCAUCAGAGAAGAAGACCAUGACUAGAUUUCCUGUCUGAGUGACUUGCACAUCAGCAGAAUAAGCUACCGUCUGUUUUCAGUGUGUAUUAGUUGGCUUUUUACCCAGGUCUUCUCAAAAUAAAUUAAUAUUUCUUGAUCUAUUUUUUUCAGGCUCUGAGACAAUUCAUUUUGUGCACAUUUAUUUGUGUUUCCUGGUUUUCUUUCUGUGCUUACAAGAGGCCUGGUACCUGACAACCUGAGAAUGGCACAAUAUCUGUCCAGUUGCUCUAUGGCUACACAAGAAGCUACAUCUAAGUGGUCAAAUGUAAUUAAGAACAGUGUACAGAUUGCAACUGAACCCAUAAGAAAAUACCUGCUGAACACAGUCCAGGAACAUCUGAAUGAAGAUGGAACCGUCAGGAGAUACACAUUUGGAAAAAAGGACUCCCAAAAAAGGAAAUGGGCAAUCCUAAUCAUGGGAGAAACAGGAACAGGACAGUCUUCACUCAUCAAUAUGAUGGUCAACUACAUGCUGGGGGUAAAAUGGGAAGACAAGAUCAGGUUUGAAAUCAUUCCAGAUGAAGACCCCAAACUGUAUCUCAAACCAGUCUGAUUACUGCCUAUGAGAUUUAUCGGCUGGGGGAACUGCCUGUUCCUUUUUCACUCACAGUCAGUGAUAUUGGAUUUGGAGACACAGGUGGGCUUGAGAAUGAUCAAAGAGUUUCUCUGAAUCUCUACAAGUUAUUUAAUUCCAUAAGGGGCAUUCAACAAAUAGGUGCAGCUUGCCUUGUGCUGAAGGCAUCUCAGAAUCGCCUCAGUCCCAGCCAGAAGUACAUCUUUGAUGCCAUCCUGUCCCUCUUUGGGAAGAACAUGGAGAAAAACAUCCUGACUCUCAUCACCUUCUCUGACUGGAUGCCACCUUCAAAUGCUCUUGAGGCAGUUGCUGAGUCUAGCGUACCUUUCCCCAAAGAUGAAAAUGAUCAGCCUCUUCACUUCCUGUUCAACAACCUUUCUCUUAAGAAUUAUCAGAAGAAAUAUGAAAAAUCAUUAAAAUUGCACUGGGUUAAUGGAAUUGAGAGAGAGAGACUCUUAAGCUCAACAGAACAAUGUGACGGGAAUUAUUAUUUUUGAAUUGUCUGGAAGUGGAUCUUUAUUUGCUCGCUGGUAUGUUUUAUCAUUUGAACAAAUAUCCACGAAUAGAAGUUAUUUUGUGCUCUGUCUCACGUGAGUUGAUUUUCUGACUAUUAUAAAGUUCUUUAGUGUUACUUGACUUUGACUUUUUAGUUUUCCUGUACAAAAUGGCCAAAUAGACCGAAGCUGUGAAUCCCAAUUCUCUGAAGUACUGCUUUGUGCAUGAACCAGCCAAUCUUCCCAGCGACGAAAACACCUUGAUCAUAAUAUGAAGCCCUGGUCAGUAGCAAUAUGGAAGGAGGAAACACUUGAUUUUUUCUGGUGAAUUCUGGUGGAGAGAGGGAUCGGUAAGUCUGCAGCCGCUCUUCACUCGACUGUGUAUAUUACAGAUAAAUCACAUUCCUUUUCCUGUUUACAAUGGCAUGUCAAGUACACAAACUGCAGUGAAGCAUCAGUUGGAGCCUGGCUGCCAAGUACAGUUCAGGCCAAAUUUUUACAUACACCGAGGCUGAAGACAUUCAGACUCAAUUUUUCACAACUCCACACAUUUCAAGUCAAGUAGGGUAUCUACUUUAUUUCCAUAAGAGGUAAUUUCAAAAUAAUAGCUAAGAGACAGAUUUAUUUCAGCUUUUAUGUACUAUAUCAGAUUUUCAGUGGGUAAAAAGUUUACAUGCACUUUGUUAGUAUUUUGUGGAAUUGCCUUUUAAUUGCUUAACUUGAAUCAAAUGCUUGGGGUAGCCUUCCACAAGCUUCUCACAAUACUUUGCCGGAAUUUUUGCCCAUUCCUCCUGGCAGAACUGGUGUAAUUCAGUCAAGUUUGUGGGCCUCCUUGCUUGGACACACUUUUUCAGUCCAGUCUACAAAUUUUCUAUGGGAUUCAGGUCAGGGCUUUGUGAUGGCCACUUCAAUACUUUCACUUUCACAGCAUUGUCCUGCUGGAAGACCCAGUUGCAACCAAGUUCUAACUUUCUAGCUGAUGUCUUGAGGUGUUGCUUCAGUAUUUCUAGAUAAUCCUCAUAUUUUCUGAAGUGCACCAAUCUUUUUUUCCAGCAAAACACCCCCACAACAUGAUGC